rnacentral:lncRNA from 1 species
UUUCCAAGGCCAUGGAAAUAGCAUCUCAAAGGACCAAGGAAGAACGGUCUAGCCAAGAUCAUGUGGAUGAAGAGGUGUUUAAGCGAGCAUAUAUUCCUAGAACCUUGAAUGAAGUGAAAAAUUAUGAGAGGGAUAUGGACAUAAUUAUGAAAUUGAAGGAAGAGGACAUGGCCAUGAAUGCCCAACAAGAUAAUGUAAGUAGCUUGGUUUGUAUAUAGCAAGCAGCUCUUCAAAAGUAGUAGGGGACUGUCCCAAACCUAUCUGGGCCUUUUAAGUUCCCCUAAUCUUGAAUAUUGGCUUCUGAGCUAGU